CAUGCUCAGAUUGAACGCUGGCGGCAGGCCUAACACAUGCAAGUCGAGCGGUAGAGAGAAGCUUGCUUCUCUUGAGAGCGGCGGACGGGUGAGUAAUGCCUAGGAAUCUGCCUGGUAGUGGGGGAUAACGUUCGGAAACGGACGCUAAUACCGCAUACGUCCUACGGGAGAAAGCAGGGGACCUUCGGGCCUUGCGCUAUCAGAUGAGCCUAGGUCGGAUUAGCUAGUUGGUGAGGUAAUGGCUCACCAAGGCGACGAUCCGUAACUGGUCUGAGAGGAUGAUCAGUCACACUGGAACUGAGACACGGUCCAGACUCCUACGGGAGGCAGCAGUGGGGAAUAUUGGACAAUGGGCGAAAGCCUGAUCCAGCCAUGCCGCGUGCGCGAUGAAGGCCUUCGGAUUGUAAAGCACUUUUAAGUUGGGAGGAAGGGUUGUAGAUUAAUACUCUGCAAUUUGACGUACCGACAGAA
rnacentral:rRNA from 1 species